GUGGGGAAAAGGGAAGAUGGAGCUGGGGACGGGGCCGGGACCGCGGAGGUCGUGAGGGAGCCGCUGCGAAGGGGCGGUCGAGCGGGACCUGCAGGAGGGGGCCCCACGCGGACAUCGGGCGGGGGGGGGGGGCGGGGGGCGUCUCAGGCGGGUGUCUGCCCGGUGGGCUCACGGACCCCGAGGCCGGUGAGGGAGUGAGGGGCCGCUGCGGAGAGUCAUCCCGGACCGGGCUUCUCGCCCUGCGGCCUGGGGCGCUUCCUGGAGGAAGAGGGCGUCGAGGGAAGACGCGGAGGCGACUCUGGGUGGGCUGGACCGCGGGCCGCGAAGCUCGAAGCCAAACCCGCAGAUUCAGCGGUCUCUUCCUGAGCGCCGACUCCACAGCCGGGCACGUGCUGGGUGUAAAAAUAAAUUAACAGGGGCUCGCCCCGACUCGCCCUCCCCGGCCGGCCCCUCGGAAGCAGACGGGCCUGGCCUGGCUGCCACGACGCCCCGGAGCGCCCGCUGCGACCCGGCCGCGCACCCCGCGCUUGCAGAGGAGGCCCCUGCGCCCAGAAAACAACGUUCGCGGUGUUUACCUUGAUUUUGCCUUCAUUAAUCUUAUUAAGUUUCUGCAAAGCUUGUUCCGUGAGUGCCCAAUGGGCAUGUUUUCUUUACCAAAGUUCACGGCUCUAUGUUCAAACCACUAAUUUCCACGGCUUCACUCCAGUGCUUUAGUGCUCCUCAGGCCCUCCAGGAAUGAGCUCAAUUAUCAACCCCGAGUGAAUCUGAAACCCGACUCAGUCUUCGCAUGAUCUGAUGAAAGCAGCGGAGUUUUAUAAAUGUCACUAGAGAAAUUGUUGAAGCUGGGCUGCUAGAGGCCGGCCAGGCCAUCGCUUCCUCCUGCGGACUUGUGGCUCAUUAUCUUUCAAAUAUUUGAAGCAGAUCAGUGGUCAUUGUGGGUCUUAGGGUUUAAGAUUUUACCCUGAAAAGCAUUCCUUGUAAUACUUGGCAUGCACAUUCAAAAAAAAAAAAAAAAAUCAUGUCAAGAGACUGGCAGUUUUUAAAUUAAUUAUUUGAGCUUGAACAAUUCAAAAGUGUCAUCAAAUUAAAACAAGGUAAUUUGGCAGAGAGGUCAUUGCCCAUCAUGUCUUCUAAUUGCUUUUCUGUAUUUUGAAAAAACAAAAACAAAAGGUUAAAUGCUGAGAUAAUGAACUUUGAGCACAGCGUUCCACAGCAGCCCCACUGGUGAUGGAAAACAGCGCUGGUUUCCAAACAGACCCGUCAGAUCCGGCCCAGAAGGAUCUGUUUCAGGAAGUGGCAGGUCUGAGACGCCAUCUCCUUAGAACACCUGCACAGCACAGCCGCAGACUGCAGAGCUGGCCAUGGAGCAAGGAGAAGAAAAAGGGAAACACAAAGGAAACGAGUCUCGGAGAGGUGGUGAGCCAAAUGAUGAAGGCAGAGAACAAGAGCCACCAGCUCCAGCUGGACUUUGCGAUGCUUCCCUGAAGCACGAGCCACAGCAGGACAGUCUCUGAGACCCUAGACGCACCUCUUCUCUGAGUUUGUGGUGAAGCUCAGUGUUCCCCAAGUGCUGCAGCCUCUGCCGCGGUCCACAGCCCGGGUGUCUGAUGUCCUCAGGAGCACUGGAGGCAGAGCUUUUCCAGGAGCGCAUCUUGGACUAGCUGUCUCCAAGUUUUCAACUCAAGUGUCUCCCCCAUGAGGUGACAUAGUGCCGCUCUGUGCUGCUUUCCCAGGACCUGGUGCAGCACCCGGCAUGUACUGGGACCCCAGUCAGUGUGAUCCCAGCGAAGUUGCGAAGGAAUGAGCACGAGGAGAAUAACACGGCUGUUACCCACGAGGGCAUUCGUCCUAUUGUCUGCACGAACACACACACACACACAGCUUGAACCCAUGAAUGAUUGUAAUAAAAUGUAAUCACAUCC
ensembl:lncRNA